AUGUCCAUGGAAAUCGAGUCUUCCGAUGUGAUCCGUCUGAUCCUGCAGUACCUGAAAGAGAACGGUUUACAUCGGGCCUUGGCUACCUUACAAGAGGAGGCUGCCGUCUCUCUGAAUACAGUGGACAGCAUCGAGAGUUUCGUGGCUGACAUUCAUAGUGGCCGUUGGGAUACUGUCUUACAGGCUAUACAGUCUCUGAAAUUGCCAGACAAAACCCUCAUGGACCUCUACGAGCAGGUUGUUCUAGAACUGAUAGAACUCCGAGAAUUGGGUGCCGCCAGGUCAGUUUUGAGACAGACUGACCCCAUGAGGAUGUUAAGACAGACCCAGCCCGAGCGGUACAUUCAUCUGGAGAACCUCUUGGCCAGGUCUUACUUUGAUCAUUGGAUUCCAAAUGUCAUGACCAAGACAACCCCACCAUCUGAGAUGGGAGGAUAUUACUGCAAUGUCUGUGACUGUGUGAGAGACUCCAUCAACUUCCUGGAUCAUAUGAAUGGAAAGAAUCAACGGAACCUGGGCAUGCCUAGGCAUGUGGAACGUUCUAUCCUGGAUCAGGUGAAGAAAGGCUUUGAGUCCAAAGACAGCAGUCAGAUCCUUAGUGCCUCUUUGGACCAGACAAUCAGAAUUCAUGGCUUAAAAUCUGGGAAAACCCUAAAGGAAUUUCGCGGUCAUUCCUCCUUCGUUAAUGAAGCAACAUUUACACAAGAUGGACAUUAUAUUAUCAGUGCUUCCUCUGAUGGCACUGUAAAGAUCUGGAAUAUGAAGACAACAGAAUGCUCAAAUACCUUGAAGUCCUUGGGCAGCACUGCGGGGACAGACAUUACUGUCAACAGUGUGAUCCUGCUUCCUCAAAACCCAGAACACUUUGUGGUGUGCAACCGAUCAAACACUGUGGUCAUCAUGAACAUGCAAGGCCAGAUUGUCAGAAGCUUCAGCUCUGGUAAGAGAGAAGGUGGUGACUUUGUUUGCUGUGCUCUCUCUCCUCGUGGAGAAUGGAUCUAUUGUGUGGGGGAAGACUUUGUGCUCUACUGCUUUAACACAGUCACUGGCAAACUGGAGAGAACUUUGACAGUUCACGAGAAGGAUGUGAUUGGUAUUGCACAUCAUCCUCAUCAGAAUUUGAUUGUUACCUACAGUGAAGAUGGACUUCUAAAGCUCUGGAAACCCUAA